AUGAACGCUAGCGGCAGGCUUAAUACAUGCAAGUCGAGGGGCAUCAAGGUACACGAAAGUGUAUUGUUGGCGACCGGCGGACGGGUGAGUAAUAGGUAGGUAACCUACCUCAUACUGAGGCAUAGCUGGGAGAAAUUCCAGGUAAUUCCUCAUGAGGUUAUAUGACACAUGUGAUAUAAUCAAAGGUAUCGCAAGGUACUGGUAUGAGAUGGGCUUACUGACCAUUAGCUAGUUGGUGAGAUAAGAGCUCACCAAGGCGAAGAUGGUUAGGGGUUUUGAGAGAGAGAUCCCCCACAUUGGAACUGAGAUACGGUCCAGACUCCUACGGGAGGCAGCAGUAGGGAAUUUUCGGCAAUGGGCGCAAGCCUGACCGAGCAACGCCGCGUGAGUGAUUAAGGCCUUCGGGUUGUAAAGCUCUGUUGUAAGGGAAGAACAUUCAGGAUAGGAAAUGAUCUUGAACUGACGGUACCUUACCAGAAAGCCACGGCUAACUACGUG
rnacentral:rRNA from 1 species